rnacentral:rRNA from 1 species
UACGAAGGGUGCAAGCGUUACUCGGAAUUACUGGGCGUAAAGCGUGCGUAGGUGGUUCGUUAAGUCUGAUGUGAAAUCUCCGGGCUCAACCCGGAAAUGGCAUUGGAUACUAUUCGGCUAGAGGUUUGGAGGGGGGACUGGAAUUCUCGGUGUAGCAGUGAAAUGCGUAGAUAUCGAGAGGAACACCAGUGGCGAAGGCGAGUCCCUGGACAACACCUGACACUGAGGCACGAAAGCUAGGGGAGCAAACAGG